AUUGAACGCUGGCGGCAGGCCUAACACAUGCAAGUCGAACGGUAACAGGAAGCAGCUUGCUGCUUUGCUGACGAGUGGCGGACGGGUGAGUAAUGUCUGGGAAACUGCCCGAUGGAGGGGGAUAACUACUGGAAACGGUAGCUAAUACCGCAUAACGUCGCAAGACCAAAGAGGGGGACCUUAGGGCCUCUUGCCAUCGGAUGUGCCCAGAUGGGAUUAGCUAGUAGGUGGGGUAACGGCUCACCUAGGCGACGAUCCCUAGCUGGUCUGAGAGGAUGACCAGCCACACUGGAACUGAGACACGGUCCAGACUCCUACGGGAGGCAGCAGUGGGGAAUAUUGCACAAAGGGCGCAAGCCUGAUGCAGCCAUGCCGCGUGUAUGAAGAAGGCCUUCGGGUUGUAAAGUACUUUCAGCGGGGAGGAAGGGAGUAAAGUUAAUACCAUUGCUCAUUGACGUUACCCGCAGAAGAAGCACCGGCUAACUCCGUG
rnacentral:rRNA from 1 species